GGAUAAACCAACAUACAGUCUAUUCCCCUCCCAAGGACGACUUUAAAAGGCUGGCAAUGUUCCGGCACAUCAUGUUGAAGGUCCAGCUAAUAAAGCACGUCCGGGAAGGGGAGCUGCCAGUGCUGUAACAGACAGUUUCUAGAGCUUUGAGAAAUUAGAAGUCUCUACCAUAUGUUCAAUGUCUAUAUAAUACCAUAGUCCGCCAAGUCAGUCAGAGUCGAGAACGGGUUUCCUCUGAACCUUGUACACAAACUAAUUCCAGACUUGCUGCACGGCAUUGUGACACACAACAGUAAGAUCCUUGCAUUCUCUCCUACAAAACCCAAGUUCUCUGAGGGGAGACCACCAGGGAACCAUGAGUGACGGGCCCUCUGAACACCUGACACGCUGCAGGCUCUCGGUAAAUACUUGUCAGUGACUGAGAUUUACCUUAACUCUGGGUAACUGAGGAUAAACAAGUGAGAGAAAAGUCAAGAAAACACCAAGCCUUUAGCACUGAAGAAUAAAAAACACAAAGAGAGAAAAGGGAAAAAAGGUGUUUUGUCCAGCAGGUCAGCUUCUUCAGGUAGACAUGCGUGUGCGCACACACAUACACACAAAUUCUCACUCUUGACAACAAGAAAAAACCAUGGGUUAUUUUCUGUGGAGCUUUUACAUAUCUCCAAGAGCCCUUGAUAAAAUUCCAGUCUUUUCCUGAGCAGCUGGGGUGAUGCUGCUCCAUAUAAUUUCCUCUCCACAUGUGUUAAUAUAGUCAUAUUUCAGGCGAAUGAGUACGAAUUUUUUAGUUGCAAGCAAAAGAAACCGACUUCAAUCAACUUAAGGGGAAAAACCAGGUCCAGGUGUAUUUUGUUUUUAGGACUCAGAAAUAUCUCACCAAAGCCGAGGGCAGGAACAUGGCAGGGCAUCGGGAAGGAAGGAACUGAGGCCUGGAAGUUGUCCUGUCCACAGGGUCCCCUCUCUCUCCCCUGGGUCCCAUUCCCUCGUCUCUCCCACCCUCUGGAGCAGCUUGGUGGUGUCAGCAUCACCUGGAGGACCUGCUAAGUGCAGACUGCUGGUCUCCCCUCCAG
rnacentral:lncRNA from 1 species